rnacentral:rRNA from 1 species
UACGAAGGGGGCUAGCGUUGCUCGGAAUCACUGGGCGUAAAGGGUGCGUAGGCGGCGCGGUAAGUCGGGUGUGAAAUCUUGGAGCUUAACUCCGAAACUGCAUUCGAUACUGCCGUGCUUGAGGACUGGAGAGGAGACUGGAAUUUACGGUGUAGCGGUGAAAUGCGUAGAUAUCGUAAGGAAGACCAGUGGCGAAGGCGGGUCUCUGGGACGGUACUGACGCUGGAGACGCGAAAGCGUGGGGAGCGAACAGG